UAAAAAUUAAACAAUAGUCCCCCUAUGUCAAAAUGUGAAAAUAACUAAGUGUUUUCUUUUUUUAUAUAUAUUUUUCCAUAUAAUUGAUGUAAGUAUAUUUACUAAUAUUUAUAAAAAAAAUAAAUUAUAUUUUUAAAUCUGUGAUCACAAACAGAGUAACUUACACCAAAGUUAGCCUCUUUUGUUAUAUAUAAAGAAAAGAAGAUCCACCGACAAUUUCAGGGAAGAUGAUUGAAGCUCAUGUCAUGGCCGCAAGUGGAACUGAUCCAAGCAUAGAGGAUGGUGUCGGGUCCUUAUUCCUUAACAUAUCACAACUAUGAAAGCAAAAGCACCACAUGACAUCACUUAAUAUAUACCAUCCAUGAGGCUGCUUCUGUCCUAUUUUAUCCACACUACAUGUCUCCAUUUGUCUUUUGAAAAUGAACAUCUCAUAUCAUAUGUUAAUUCAAUUGAUGUAUUAUUGGUAGAUUUUGAAGCUUUAAAUAAAAUAAAAAUUAUGAAUAGUUCACUUGUUUUUACCUUUUAAUUCUUUUAUAUAAUAAUAUAAAGACUUUUUUCACUUAUUUAAUUGGCAAGAAAAUUCAAAUUUUCAUAAUAAUAUAAUUAUAUUGACAUAAAAUAUAUUUUGAGUAAUAAUUUUUAUGAUUAUAUUAAAAAUAAAUAAAAUUAUUAAAACACAAAAGGGGAAUUUGGAAAAUGA
rnacentral:misc_RNA from 1 species